rnacentral:rRNA from 1 species
GAUGAACGCUAGCGGCAGGCUUAAUACAUGCAAGUCGAGCGGAUGAAGAGAGCUUGCUCUCUGAUUUAGCGGCGGACGGGUGAGUAAUGCCUAGGAAUCUGCCUGGUAGUGGGGGAUAACGUUCCGAAAGGAACGCUAAUACCGCGUACGUCCUACGGGAGAAAGCAGGGGACCUUCGGGCCUUGCGCUAUCAGAUGAGCCUAGGUCGGAUUAGCUAGUUGGUGAGGUAAUGGCUCACCAAGGCGACGAUCCGUAACUGGUCUGAGAGGAUGAUCAGUCACACUGGAACUGAGACACGGUCCAGACUCCUACGGGAGGCAGCAGUGGGGAAUAUUGGACAAUGGGCGAAAGCCUGAUCCAGCCAUGCCGCGUGUGUGAAGAAGGUCUUCGGAUUGUAAAGCACUUUAAGUUGGGAGGAAGGGUAUUCACCUAAUACGUGGGUACUUUGACGUUACCAACAGAAUAAGCACCGGCUAACUCUGUGCCAGCCGCCGCGGUAACAC